AGUUUUUUUACAAUGUUAAAAGAGCAGAAUUUUCAACCUUAUAAAUAGAAGAACGCAUUAUGCAUAGUGAUAUGGUACAUUAUUAUUUUUUAAAGAAACAAUGACAGAUCCUCCAACUUGCAAGUAGAACUAAAAAAAAAUAAUCACUAAUGUGGAAAAUUGUGGAAAAACUCAACCUUUAGCAAUUUGUAUACUAUUUUUAUAUGUUACUAUUUUAUUUGUUACUAUUUUUAUAUGUUACCAAAAUGUGAAAAUUUAUUAUCUUGCCUUCCCUUUUUUGGUGAUGUGAUUAUACAUGAGACAGGCACAAAGUUAACCAAGGAAGGUUGUGGGGGAAGUGAUAGGAACCACAGCUACGGCCAGGCAGUAUUCCACAGGCAAAGGAGCUCAAAAGAGGAAGGGCCUCAUUGACUCUGACAGGGAACUGGAUGGGGAGGAAAUAUGACCAAAUGACUCAGUCAGUGAAAACAGAAUUGUACAGGGGAGAUGGCUGCUCAUUUCCCAGAUCCUCUAGAAUCCUCAGAGGAGGCAGGAACAUUAAUACUCAAAAGCUAAGCAGUGUUCUGGAGAAAGUGGGAGAGGAACUCACAAAUAAGGAAUUUCAGAGUCUAUCAGAACACUUACCGCUUGACGCUGAUGGGAAAGUUGAACUUAAUAAACUAAUGAGUGAAGCUAAAGCUGUUACAGGUAAAAUGUAAAACUGAGAUACCAAUGCCUUUAAAACAUAUUUUUGCAACAAUAUUUCGAAUUAUGUAACCAUUGCCUUAUAAAUCCUGC
rnacentral:lncRNA from 9 species